UACGGAGGGGGCUAGCGUUGUUCGGAAUUACUGGGCGUAAAGCGCACGUAGGCGGCUUUGUAAGUUAGAGGUGAAAGCCCGGGGCUCAACUCCGGAAUUGCCUUUAAGACUGCAUCGCUAGAAUUGUGGAGAGGUAAGUGGAAUUCCGAGUGUAGAGGUGAAAUUCGUAGAUAUUCGGAAGAACACCAGUGGCGAAGGCGACUUACUGGACACAUAUUGACGCUGAGGGCGAAAGCGUGGGGAGCAAACAGG
rnacentral:rRNA from 1 species